rnacentral:rRNA from 1 species
AUACGGAAGGUCCGGGCGUUAUCCGGAUUUAUUGGGUUUAAAGGGAGCGCAGGCGGAGAUGCAAGCGUGACGUCAAAUUUCGGGGCUCAACCCCGUCUCGCGUCGCGAACUGCGUCCCUUGGUUGCGGGAAGGGGAGGCGGAACUCGUGGUGUAGCGGUGAAAUGCAUAGAUAUCACGAAGAACUCCGAUCGCGAAGGCCGCCUUCCGGCCCGUCAACGACGCUCAUGCUCGAAGGUGCGGGUAUCAAACAGGAUUAGAUACCCUGGUAGUCCGCACAGUAAACGAUGGACACCCGCGGUUUGGCCUAUAUGGCUGAGCCGCCAAGCGAAAGCGUUAAGUGUCCCACCUGGGGAGUACGCCGGCAACGGUGAAACUCAAAGGAAUUGACGGGG